UGGGGAAGAGGAGCCUGGAGGAGCGCAUCCAGGAGGAGUGCAGAUACCUGGUGGAUGUGUUUAGGGAUGAACAGGGGAAUCCUUUCAACCCUCAGUUGAAAAUCACUAAUGCUGUUGCAAAUGUCAUCUGCUCCCUCAUCUUUGGCAAUCGGUUUGACUACCACGAUGAGGAUUUCCAAAGACUGCUGAAGCUGAUGAAUGAAAUGACUACCCUCAAUGGAGCUUUCUCAGCUCAGCUGUACAACAAUUUCCCAUCUAUAAUGAAGUAUUUACCUGGAGCCCACCAAACCAUUUUCAAAUACUGGAGGGUUUUGCAAAAAUUUAUGCAA